rnacentral:rRNA from 1 species
ACACAUGCAAGUCGAGCGGUAGCACAGACCUUUUGCUCUCGGGUGACGAGCGGCGGACGGGUGAGUAAUGUCUGGGAAACUGCCUGAUGGAGGGGGAUAACUACUGGAAACGGUAGCUAAUACCGCAUAACGUCGCAAGACCAAAGUGGGGGACCUUCGGGCCUCAUGCCAUCAGAUGUGCCCAGAUGGGAUUAGCUAGUAGGUGGGGUAACGGCUCACCUAGGCGACGAUCCCUAGCUGGUCUGAGAGGAUGACCAGCCACACUGGAACUGAGACACGGUCCAGACUCCUACGGGAGGCAGCAGUGGGGAAUAUUGCACAAUGGGCGCAAGCCUGAUGCAGCCAUGCCGCGUGUGUGAAGAAGGCCUUCGGGUUGUAAAGCACUUUCAGCGGGGAGGAAGGCGUUAAGGUUAAUAACCUUGGCGAUUGACGUUACCCGCAGAAGAAGCACCGGCUAACUCCGUGCCAGCAGCCGCGGUAAUACGGAGGGUGCAAGCGUUAAUCGGAAUUACUGGGCGUAAAGCGCACGCAGGCGGUCUGUCAAGUCGGAUGUGAAAUCCCCGGGCUCAACCUGGGAACUGCAUUCGAAACUGGCAGGCUAGAGUCUUGUAGAGGGGGGUAGAAUUCCAGGUGUAGCGGUGAAAUGCGUAGAGAUCUGGAGGAAUACCGGUGGCGAAGGCGGCCCCCUGGACAAAGACUGACGCUCAGGUGCGAAAGCGUGGGGAGCAAACAGGAUUAGAUACCCUGGUAGUCCACGCCGUAAACGAUGUCGAUUUGGAGGUUGUGCCCUUGAGGCGUGGCUUCCGGAGCUAACGCGUUAAAUCGACCGCCUGGGGAGUACGGCCGCAAGGUUAAAACUCAAAUGAAUUGACGGGGGCCCGCACAAGCGGUGGAGCAUGUGGUUUAAUUCGAUGCAACGCGAAGAACCUUACCUGGUCUUGACAUCCACAGAACUUUCCAGAGAUGGAUUGGUGCCUUCGGGAACUGUGAGACAGGUGCUGCAUGGCUGUCGUCAGCUCGUGUUGUGAAAUGUUGGGUUAAGUCCCGCAACGAGCGCAACCCUUAUCCUUUGUUGCCAGCGGUUCGGCCGGGAACUCAAAGGAGACUGCCAGUGAUAAACUGGAGGAAGGUGGGGAUGACGUCAAGUCAUCAUGGCCCUUACGACCAGGGCUACACACGUGCUACAAUGGCAUAUACAAAGAGAAGCGACCUCGCGAGAGCAAGCGGACCUCAUAAAGUAUGUCGUAGUCCGGAUUGGAGUCUGCAACUCGACUCCAUGAAGUCGGAAUCGCUAGUAAUCGUAGAUCAGAAUGCUACGGUGAAUACGUUCCCGGGCCUUGUACACACCGCCCGUCACACCAUGGGAGUGGGUUGCAAAAGAAGUAGGUAGCUUAACCUAAGGGAGGGCGCUUACCACUUUGUGAUUCAUGACUGGGGUGAA